rnacentral:rRNA from 1 species
AUUGAACGCUGGCGGCAGGCUUAACACAUGCAAGUCGAGCGGUAACAGAUCUAGCUUGCUAGAUGCUGACGAGCGGCGGACGGGUGAGUAAUGCAUAGGAAACUGCCCAGUAGUGGGGGAUAGCCCGGGGAAACCCGGAUUAAUACCGCGUACGCCCUUCGGGGGAAAGCAGGGGAUCUUCGGACCUUGCGCUAUUGGAUGUGCCUAUGUCGGAUUAGCUAGUUGGUGGGGUAAAGGCCUACCAAGGCGACGAUCCGUAGCUGGUCUGAGAGGAUGAUCAGCCACAUCGGGACUGAGACACGGCCCGAACUCCUACGGGAGGCAGCAGUGGGGAAUAUUGGACAAUGGGGGCAACCCUGAUCCAGCCAUGCCGCGUGUGUGAAGCCCCGGGCUUAACCUGGGAACGGCAUUUCGAACUGUCAGGCUAGAGUGUGGUAGAGGGUAGUGGAAUUUCCUGUGUAGCGGUGAAAUGCGUAGAUAUAGGAAGGAACACCAGUGGCGAAGGCGGCUACCUGGACCAACACUGACACUGAGGUGCGAAAGCGUGGGGAGCAAACAGGAUUAGAUACCCUGGUAGUCCACGCCGUAAACGAUGUCAACUAGCCGUUGGGACUCUUGAAGUCUUAGUGGCGCAGCUAACGCACUAAGUUGACCGCCUGGGGAGUACGGCCGCAAGGUUAAAACUCAAAUGAAUUGACGGGGGCCCGCACAAGCGGUGGAGCAUGUGGUUUAAUUCGACGCAACGCGAAGAACCUUACCUGGCCUUGACAUGCAGAGAACUUUCCAGAGAUGGAUUGGUGCCUUCGGGAACUCUGACACAGGUGCUGCAUGGCCGUCGUCAGCUCGUGUCGUGAGAUGUUGGGUUAAGUCCCGUAACGAGCGCAACCCCUAUCCCUAGUUGCUAGCAGUUCGGCUGAGAACUCUAGGGAGACUGCCGGUGACAAACCGGAGGAAGGUGGGGAUGACGUCAGGUCAUCAUGGCCCUUACGGCCAGGGCUACACACGUGCUACAAUGGUGCGCACAGAGGGCUGCAAACCCGCGAGGGGGAGCUAAUCUCACAAAACGCAUCGUAGUCCGGAUCGGAGUCUGCAACUCGACUCCGUGAAGUCGGAAUCGCUAGUAAUCGUGAAUCAGAAUGUCACGGUGAAUACGUUCCCGGGCCUUGUACACACCGCCCGUCACACCAUGGGAGUGGAUUGCACCAGAAGUGGUUAGUCUAACCUUCGGGAGGACGAUCACCACGGUGUGGUUCAUGACUGGGGUGAAGUCGUAACAAGGU